CUGCAUGGGGUGGGGGCUCCGUGGUGGUAUACACCCCCAUCUGUGAUGUUGCAGGCAGGAGCUUUCUGUCGAGAGCCCUGCUUCUAUUACAGGGGACAAAGUGCACAGAGGUGCCCUCGAAGCUCCACUGCAGGGCUGUGUACUACCAUGUACACGGAGGGGUCACAAGGGAGUCGGCCAUGUUUCAAGGAGAUGAGUGUUUAUUGAGACAAAGCAGGCCUAGAGAAGUGAGGGAAAUACAUGUCUUAGAGGUAGAUAGACCCCCAAGAGAAAGAAUGAGGGUGAGGGUCCCCCAAAUUCCUGGUUGUUUAACCUUUAUUGUGGAUUCUGGGGAUGCGGUGGGACCCUAAGGCUGUUAAUUAUAGCCAUUAUCUCCAGGUCUACUCUACUGCAUCCAUCUGCAUUUUAUGACAUUGGCAGGCAGGUGGGAAGGGAAGCAGUGGUCCAGGAUAUACGCAUCUUGGCUUCUGGCCCCUCUCCCAGGCUACCUGCAGGGUGCAGGGGCAGGAAUUGCUAGUGUCCUUUUACCAGAGGAGUCUCUCCCUAAGCAGCCCCCUAACAUUUCUCUUACCCUGUCCCAAACUAUGAUGUGGAGAAGCUUCAGAGAGAAACUUGGCUGGCAGACAAAGCCCUCCUCCCUUUAGAAAGACAGACAUCCAUGCCCUGCAGGUGUUUAAACACGGGCAAGUGGCACUUGACAGAGGUGGACUUUCCAAGAAUCACAGAAAGCACUUCCUGUUGUCCUGCCUCCUUAUUUGGGACAUAGAAAGGUCACUUGGACUGACCUGGGAGGAGCCUCAGUGGAGUACACAUUGGAUUUACAGUCAGGAGGCCAGGAGUUUGAUCCCCAGCAUCACAUAUGCCAAAGUGAUGUUCUGGUUCUCUCUCAUAAAUAGAUAAAUCUUUUAAAAGAGGAAAAGAAAAGUAAAGAUCACCCAGGAUUUCACUACAAGAAGAGUCGGGGAGGGGGGAGGGCUUGGGCAAGAAGACAGUUUCUAGGACAGUGUUUGUAUACAGUGUUUGUAGCCAGCCUGGCAUUUGCAUGCUACGUGGCUUCAGGCAAGUGUCCAAGUUUUUGAGUUUCAUUCCUUAAUGUGAAAUGAGGAGCCUAAUUCCUGUCCCAAUGAUUGUUAUUAUUUUCUUUCUUGAUUAGCAUGAGUGCGAGAGAAGGAGAAACAGUUGUCAGACCUCCAACUCAAGACUUCAUGUUUUUAAGUCCGGAGGUCUAGCAACUGGGUCCACUCCCAGGCCACCUAAAAUUAUUCUGCUGAUGUUUGAUGCGUUGGCUAAAGCACGACUCUCUGAGGAAAUAAAGGGAUCACGAGCCCUGCUCCCAAACUGUGAGCUCCUUCACCAAUUGUCACCAAUCUGAAUGAUAAAAUUGACCCAGAGUGGGCUGGGGAGACAACAUAGUCAUUAUUGUUAGAAAUAUGCAACAUAAAUGAGACAAGAAGAGUCAGGUGUGUAGAUAAAGGAACUUUUUGUGUAGUAGCCUUGGGAACCUUUAGGAGCCCUGCCUGGGGAAAUGGGAGAGCCCAGACAAGGGGAGCUCACGACAGCCUCCUCAGAGCCUUAUAGGGUCUUGGCUCAGGACUAUUUCUGGUGUGUGGGAGGGGGACUGGUGGUCUGAUUUAUGAUAUAUUCAGGAAUAUUUCUGGUCAGAUGUGUCUGUUCAGGCAGGGUCUGCUUGUCCCCAGCAUGUCCCCUUCAGUCUGUUUCAGUGAGAGAAGUUCUUUCUGUGAGGAUAGGGGAUCAGGCCUCAGCAUAUUUCCUUUAAUUAUGCAAAAGGGUUUCAUCCUAGGUUCAAUCCCCCAUAACCCCCAUAAGCCAGAGCUGAGCAGUGCUCUAGUUUAAAAAAGAAAGAAAGAGGCCUAGAGUAGGAAAAUCUAUUCAUGCACGAGGCCCUAGUUACACCAGGAAAAUUUUUGUUAAUUAAAAAAACUAAGAAAUACAAAUAAGAGCCACCCAGCCCACUUGUAGUUCUCAUUAAUCACAUUUUGAAAUAGUAAAAAGAAAUGGUACAGGGGAUGAGGGGGAAGUGAAGGAAAAGGAAAAUAACAUAAUGGUUAUGCAAAGAGACUCUCACUGAGGGCUGGGUGGUGGUGCACCUGGUUAAGUGCACAGAUUACAAUGCUCAGGGACGGGGGUUGAGCCCCCCUCCACCUGUAGGGAGAAAGCUUUGUGAGUAGUGAAGCAGGGCUGUAGGUGUCUCUCUUCCUGUCUGUCUCACCUCCCCUAUUGACUUCUGGCUAUCUCUAUCCAAUAAACAAGUAAAGAUAAUU